rnacentral:rRNA from 1 species
GAUGAACGCUGGCGGCGUGCCUAACACAUGCAAGUCGAGCGAUUUACUUCGGUAAAGAGCGGCGGACGGGUGAGUAACGCGGGGGUAACCUGCCCUGUACACACGGAUAACAUACCGAAAGGUAUGAUAAUACGAGAUAAUAUACUUUUAUCGCAUGGUAGAAGUAUCAAAGCUCCGGCGGUACAGGAUGGACCCGCGUCUGAUUAGCUGGUUGGUAAGGUAACGGCUUACCAAGGCGACGAUCAGUAGCCGACCUGAGAGGGUGAUCGGCCACAUUGGAACUGAGACACGGUCCAAACUCCUACGGGAGGCAGCAGUGGGGAAUAUUGCACAAUGGGCGAAAGCCUGAUGCAGCAACGCCGCGUGAGCGAUGAAGGCCUUCGGGUCGUAAAGCUCUGUCCUCAAGGAAGAUAAUGACGGUACUUGAGGAGGAAGCCCCGGCUAACUACGUGCCAGCCGCCGCAGUAA